GACGAACGCUGGCGGCGUGCUUAACACAUGCAAGUCGAACGGAAAGGCCCUGCUUUUGUGGGGUGCGCGAGUGGCGAACGGGUAAGUAACACGUGAGUAACCUGUACUUGACUGUGGGAUAUCCUCAUGAAACUGGGGCUAAUACCGGAUAGGAGCUCCUGCUGCAGGGUGGGGGUGGGAAAGUUUCGGCGGUUGGUGAUGGACUCGCGGCUCAUCAGCUUGGUGGUGGGGUAGUGGCUUACCAAGGCUUUGCCGGGUAGCCGGCCUGAGAGGAGGAGCGGCCACACUGGGACUGAGAUGCGACCCAGACUCCUACCGGACGCAGCAGUGGAGAAUAUUGCACAAUGGGCGGAGGGAUAGUGCAGCAACGCAACGCGCGGGAUGACAGCAUGGCGGUUGUAAUCCGAUGUCGCUUUUCACGAGACGAGAAUGACGGUAACGGGUGAAGAAGCACCGGCUAACUACGUG
rnacentral:rRNA from 1 species